GAUGAACGCUGGCGGCGUGCUUAACACAUGCAAGUCGAACGGAAAGGCUCCUGCUUGCAGGGGUACUCGAGUGGCGAACGGGUGAGUAACACGUGGGUGAUCUGCCCUGCACUUCGGGAUAAGCCUGGGAAACUGGGUCUAAUACCGGAUAGGACGAUGGUUUGGAUGCCAUUGUGGAAAGUUUUUCGGUUUGGGAUGGGCUCGCGGCCUAUCAGCUUGUUGGUGGGGUAAUGGCCUACCAAGGCGUCGACGGGUAGCCGGCCUGAGAGGGUGUACGGCCACAUUGGGACUGAGGUACGGCCCAGACGCCUACGGGAGGCAGCAGUGGGGAAUAUUACAGAAUGGGCGCGAGCCUGAUGCAGCGACGCCGGGUGGGGGAUGACGGCCUUCGGGUGGUAAACUACUUUCGCUAGAGACGAAGCGCAAGUGACGGUACCUGGAGAAGAAGCACCGGCUAACUACGUG
rnacentral:rRNA from 1 species